UACGGAGGAUCCGAGCGUUAUCCGGAUUUAUUGGGUUUAAAGGGUGCGUAGGCGGCCUGUUAAGUCAGGGGUGAAAGACGGUAGCUCAACUAUCGCAGUGCCCUUGAUACUGAUGGGCUUGAAUGUACUAGAGGUAGGCGGAAUGUGACAAGUAGCGGUGAAAUGCAUAGAUAUGUCACAGAACACCAAUUGCGAAGGCAGCUUACUAUGGUUAGAUUGACACUGAGGCACGAAAGCGUGGGGAUCAAACAGG
rnacentral:rRNA from 1 species